UUGUGGACAUCACCCCUAAUACAGAGGCAGAUCCGGCUUCUUCCCACCUGAAUGUGGUGGACAUCAUCCCUAAUACAGAGGCCGAGCCCAUCUCUUCCCUCUUGGAGGUUGUGGACGUCACACCUGAAGAAAGGACUCUCACGAUGGCCGACUUCGCCACUCUGCCAGCUGACAUCCAAGAGGAGGAUGUUGCUGUGGUCAUCCCGGAUGUCACCCCACACGUCACCAAGGACGUGACACUGGAUGUUCCAUGCAGAGCUAGGAAAAGGGCAGUUCGGCGAUUAUUUUGCAGGCUUUGGAGGGCAGUGUGCAGCUGCGCCUACCACAAGGAAGAGGAGGAACAAUAUUAAUUAUUCAUCAGACCUUCAGAAAUGGGAUUGAACCAUAGACCAUUAAAUUAUUUGCAUUAUGAUUGGAUUCAAUUCUGCUUUUCUUCUGUUUACUACUUCAUUUCAGAAAAUGUCUAUAAACUUUGACUUUGCAAGUGUGGAGUAGGUUGUGUAAAUAAGUGGGAUACAUCCCAAUUUUAAUGCCUUUAAUAAUUUACUUUGUACAUUUA